GUGCUGUGAUGAUCUCCUUAUUGGUUUCACUCAUAACUGAAUUUUCUGAUGACACCUUCUCUUGGCUGGGCUGAGACAC
rnacentral:snoRNA from 1 species